rnacentral:rRNA from 1 species
GACGAACGCUGGCGGCGUGCCUAAUACAUGCAAGUUGAGCGCUGAAGGUUGGUACUUGUACCAACUGGAUGAGCAGCGAACGGGUGAGUAACGCGUGGGGAAUCUGCCUUUGAGCGGGGGACAACAUUUGGAAACGAAUGCUAAUACCGCAUAAAAACUUUAAACACAAGUUUUAAGUUUGAAAGAUGCAAUUGCAUCACUCAAAGAGGAUCCCGCGUUGUAUUAGCUAGUUGGUGAGGUAAAGGCUCACCAAGGCGAUGAUACAUAGCCGACCUGAGAGGGUGCUCGGCCUCAUUAGGACUGUGACACGGCCCAAGCUCCUUCGGGGGGCAGCACUAGGGAAUCUUCGGCAAUGGACGAAAGUCUGCCCGUGCCACGCCGAGCGAGUGAAGAAGGUUUUCGGAUCGUAAAACUCUGUUGGUAGAGAAGACCGUUGCUGAGAGUGGAAAGCUCAUCAAGUGACGGUAACUACACAGAAAGGGACGGCUAACUACGUG